GCGGCUAUAGUUUAAGGGUUCAGAAUUGAAGCUUCCCAUCGUCUAUCACAGCGAGUUUGCUUCAGAUUCGGGUUCGAGUCCCGAUAGCCGCA